rnacentral:rRNA from 1 species
GGUGAGUAAUGUCUGGGAAACUGCCUGAUGGAGGGGGAUAACUACUGGAAACGGUAGCUAAUACCGCAUAACGUCGCAAGACCAAAGAGGGGGACCUUCGGGCCUCUUGCCAUCGGAUGUGCCCAGAUGGGAUUAGCUAGUAGGUGGGGUAAAGGCUCACCUAGGCGACGAUCCCUAGCUGGUCUGAGAGGAUGACCAGCCACACUGGAACUGAGACACGGUCCAGACUCCUACGGGAGGCAGCAGUGGGGAAUAUUGCACAAUGGGCGCAAGCCUGAUGCAGCCAUGCCGCGUGUAUGAAGAAGGCCUUCGGGUUGUAAAGUACUUUCAGCGGGGAGGAAGGGAGUAAAGUUAAUACCUUUGCUCAUUGACGUUACCCGCAGAAGAAGCACCGGCUAACUCCGUGCCAGCAGCCGCGGUAAUACGGAGGGUGCAAGCGUUAAUCGGAAUUACUGGGCGUAAAGCGCACGCAGGCGGUUUGUUAAGUCAGAUGUGAAAUCCCCGGGCUCAACCUGGG